rnacentral:tRNA from 1 species
GGAUAUAGCUCAAUGGUAGAUCAUGUGCUUGGCAUGCAUGAAGUCCUGGGUUCAAUCCCCAGUACCUCCA